rnacentral:tRNA from 1 species
GGUUCCAUAGAAUAGUGGUUAGCACAUCUACUUUACAGGCAGAAGGUCCUGGGUUUGAAUCCCAGCGGAGCCU